GAUGAACGCUAGCGGCAGGCUUAACACAUGCAAGUCGAGGGGUAGAAGGAGCUUGCUCCUUUGAGACCGGCGCACGGGUGCGUAACGCGUAUGCAAUCUACCUUUUGCAGAGGGAUAGCCCAGAGAAAUUUGGAUUAAUACCUCAUAGUAUGUGAGGAUGGCAUCAUUUUCACAUUAAAGUCACAACGGCAAAAGAUGAGCAUGCGUCCCAUUAGCUAGUUGGUAAGGUAACGGCUUACCAAGGCUACGAUGGGUAGGGGUCCUGAGAGGGAGAUCCCCCACACUGGUACUGAGACACGGACCAGACUCCUACGGGAGGCAGCAGUGAGGAAUAUUGGACAAUGGGCGCAAGCCUGAUCCAGCCAUGCCGCGUGCAGGAUGACGGUCCUAUGGAUUGUAAACUGCUUUUGUACAGGAAGAAACACUAACUUUCGUGAAGUAGACUUGACGGUACUGUAAGAAUAAGGAUCGGCUAACUACGUG
rnacentral:rRNA from 1 species